UCAGGUUGGAUCCUGCUGGAGUCCGAUGGUUGACACCAGGUCCAUGCAGAUAUUUCUGUGAACUCACCCUGGAUCCAAACACAGCGAACAGACGCCUCAAACUGUCUGAAAACAACAAGAAGGUGGAACAUGUGGAGGGGUUUCUGUCACAUCCUGAUCAUCCGGACAGAUUUGACUACUGGGUACAGGUGAUGUGCUCAACUGGUCUGACUGGUCGCUGUUACUGGGAGGUCCAGUGGAGUGGAUGGGUUGAAAUAUCUGUGACUUACAGAAGAAUCAGAAGGAAAGGAAAGAGUGAUGACAGUGGGUUUGGAUACAAUGAUCAGUCCUGGAGUCUGCAGCGUUACAGAGGUGGAUACAGUCUCAGGCAUAAAAAGAAAUACACACUCCUCCCUCAGUCUUCCUCCUCCUCCUCCUCUUUCUCCUCCUCCUCCUCCUCCUCCUUCUGGUCCUCCUUCUGGUCCUCCUCUGGUACAGUCUCAGUGUAUGUGGACUGUCCUGCUGGAUCUGUGUCCUUCUAUGAAGUCUGCUCUGACAAACUGAUCCACCUGCACACCUUCAGAACCACAUCCACUGAACCACUGUUUGCAGGAUUUUUACUGGUGACACCAGGAUCCACAGUGUGUUUGU